ensembl:snRNA U6 U6 spliceosomal RNA
GUGCUCACUUCAGCAGCACAUAUACUAAAAUUGGAACGAUACAGAGAUUAGCAUGGCCCCUGCACAAGGAUGACAUGCAAAUUCACAAAGUGCUCCAUAUAUUU